rnacentral:rRNA from 1 species
GAUGAACGCUGGCGGCGUGCCUAAUACAUGCAAGUCGAGCGAACAGAUGAGGAGCUUGCUCCUCUGACGUUAGCGGCGGACGGGUGAGUAACACGUGGAUAACCUUCCUAUAAGACUGGGAUAACUUCGGGAAACCGGAGCUAAUAUCCGAUAAUAUAUUGAACCGCAUGGUUCUAUAGUGAAAGACGGUUUUGCUGUUACUAAUAGAUGGAUCCGCGCCGCAUUAGCUAGUUGGUAAGGUAACGGCUUACCAAGGCAACGAUGCGUAGCUGACCUGACAGGGUGAUCGGCCACACUGGAACGGAGACACGGUCCAGACUCCUACGGGAGGCAGCAGUAGGGAAUCUUGCGCAAUGGGCGAAAGCCUGACGGAGCAACGCCGCGUGAGUGAUGAAGGUCUUCGGAUCGUAAAGCUCUGUUACUAGGGAGGAACAGAUGUGUAUGUAACUAUGCACGUCUUGACGGUACCUAAUGAGAAAGCCACGGCUAACUACGUG